AAAGGCCAAAUGCUUUGCACUUUUACCAGCUCAGUGCUAAGUUAGUUGGUUUGACUGGGAGAGCACACUCAGCAGACGAUUUUGCAUUUAUGGUCAACGAGGACAGUAAAAAUAAUAAAACAGGAUGAGAAGAGACAAUCAAGUGUUUCUGACUGUACCGAGGGCUGAGGUAUGGACCAGUCAGUUACGCCCUCUAGUGGAUUCAUCUGCACAGCUCCAUCUGCAGCAUUCACUGUCUUGAAGCGAGACUGAUCAAGAAACAAGGGACAUGAGGCUGAAGCUCUUGAAUGACCAUGCGCAGGCGCUCUGUGACGGACAUGUGACGAGGAGAGGAUCUGGCAAGGGUGUUUUCAGUGGAGUAAGGGUUCCUGUGGCCCUCCGGCACAAGAACGGAGCCUUCAGGGACCGUCUGGUAGAGAUUACACACCGUCUCUGGGUUCUGCAAGGAGGUGAUUUGAAGGACAGUGAUUCAGGGCACAUAAUCUCUCAGAAAAAAAAAAAAGAUUUAAAUGAGAUCUGCCAUUGGUCGGUAAAGCGGAGAGUCCUGCCCCAACUGCAUGCAAACUACAAAUGGCUUACUUACACUGACUCAUGCUUUAAAGAUCUUUUACAUAUUGUAUAAUAUUAUUAAAUGUUAGAAUAAUAUAUAUGCAUAAUGUAAUAAAGUGUUACCAUAAAUAAACAAUCACUACAUUACCACAAAAAACAAAGCCUGAAAAAUGUUGUCAGUACCAGUGAGACGCACUCACAGCUCCCGCACGCGCUCACGUCAUCCAGCAGUCCCACCAACAUCUCUUUGAGGGUCUGACGGAGUGACGACAGCGGGAAGAGCGCACAGAAUUCCUCUUCAUCCUCUCCUGCACUGUUCUGUCCCACCACCCGACACAUGACCUCUGACCUCUCCUCUAUACAAGUACUACACUACAGACACCGAAACACUCUGUCUACUGCAGGUACAUGCGAAUCUCUCUCUCUCUCUCUCUCUCCAGUGUCUGUAAGCCUGGAUUAAGUCUAAAUGAACACGUGCUGAACUGUUACCGACCUCCCUUAAAGCAGCAGCGAAAGCCAAUUACACAUUUUGUUCACCGAGAUGACAUCCUACAGAAAACUUUUUUGAUAUAAAAAAAAAAAUAGCAAAGAUCAAAGAGAGAAACCUCAAUCAACAUUUCAUCACAAGAGCUGUGUGAUAUAGUUCAAAAUAUAUAUCUUUAGACUUUAUAAGCUUUUAAAUCAAUUUUUUAAUACUUCUGUUUUUAGUGUAUUUGCCCUGAAAUUUCCUACAGUGGUGAUCAAUUCAAUCGGAUGAAAUAUAAUUUUGACCAAACAACCAAACUAGAGUGAAAAUGUUUAAGGCAAGACAUGUUUCCAUAGUGUUUAAAUGAUAUUUGCAAAUAUGAUGUUAAAUCAAAUUUCAUUUGUAUGCCUCAAAAUAACUAUGCAUGGUAAUAAAACACUGCCAUGUAUGGGAUAAAAAGCUUGGGGUCGGUAAAAUUUUAAUGUUUCUUAAAAAAAAAAUCUCUUAUGCUUACCAAAUACAGCAACUAAUAUUGUUAAAUAUUUUUUUUUUUUCAAUUUAAAAUAAUUCUUUGGUUGUUUUAAUAUAUUGUAAAAUAUGUUAUUCCUAAAGAAAACGCUGAAUUUUCAGCAUCAGUACUUCAGUCUUCAGUGUCACACGAUCCUUCAGAAAUCAUUCUAAUAUGCUGAUUUAGUGAUAAAGAAACAUUUAUUCUUAUCAGUGAUGAAAACAUUAUUUUUGGUUUUCGUAUGUUUUUUUGUGGAAAUGGUGAUACACUUUUUUUCAGUAUUCUUUGAUGAAUAUAAAGUAAAAAAAAAAAAAACAUGAUCAAACAUGUGGUCACUUGUGAUCAAUUUAAUACAUCCUUGGUAAUUAAAAGUAUUCAUUAAAAAAAAAAUAAAUAAAUAAAUAAAAUACUUGCUGACCACAAACUAAAAUUUGUGUAAACUUGAAUACUGAAAAUGAUAUAGAUUUUUAAUACAUAUUUACUAUACUGCCUAGCCCUACAUGCCAUCCAUUUUACAUUUGAAACCUGCCAAAGCAAUUAAAGUCAAAUAUUACUGUUUGCAGUAAGACUGUGGAAUUCUGUUGAGCACAACCUCACAACACCCAGCGUAAUCCUGAUCACCCCAGCCAGUCUCUCAACACAAGCAGCUCACACCUCCUAAAUCUCUCACAGCACAGCCACUCAUU